rnacentral:misc_RNA from 1 species
GGUCAUUGGGAAUUGAAGGUUGUGUGGUGUGUGUCACUUUCGGAUCGCACACGCUACAAUAACACCAUAAAAACAGGUUUUAUGGAGAAGACUAAUAUCAGAAGAGACCCGAUUUUGGAAGCGAAUGAAGAGUUGGUGAGAGAGAUAGGGACCGAGGUGAGCCUCAAUAAUGGGCCCCAGAGUUGCACGGAGUAAGUUGGCUUUGGCUUUACCAAAGGAAAUGGGAUCUAUCAUCCACUGCUUUUGCUUCUCCUGUGAAUGCUCCACUAUUCUGCUGUAUUCCAUUCUUUCUAUCUCAAACCCACCACAUCUUCUUAUUGCCCUCUCCACCUCCUCCGUGCUUCUCAUGUAUGCCGGAAUGUUGAAUCCAUCUCUCGUCUCUUCAUCAAUCAUACCCUGCAUAUGUUGCCUAUUAGACACUUAAUUCCAACCUCAAAUCAUCUUUCUUUUUCAUUUCCCCUAAAACUGUGCUUGUGCAUACUGUGGUGUUAUAUGCUAUAUCUUUCUGAUGUCUUUGGCGUGUGGAGUUAAUCUUUCGAGAUCCCACAUAGCUUGAGAAUUGGGUGCGUAUGGGAUAUAUAACUUAAUAUGCCUUGACAAAAUCAUGACCAUGGUAUUGUCAACGGGUGAGUGCUGUCGUUGUUCUUGAAAAAGAAAACAUAUGUAAUGUACCUCAUUUAUAAGGUCCUGCCAUGCCUGAUCCAGGGAAGUGGUGAAAGGAUGCUUAGCUCUUGAGUCUGGAUCACUUAACUGAUUAUCAGGCUGUUGAGACGCAGGCCUCCCUCCCAUUAGUAAAAACAACAUUCCUCCUUGCACUAUUUCUUCUUUCCUGCAUUUCAGAAAGUCCUCCAAGUCUUUCUCUGAUUGCUUCGCGUAUGCUUCGACUACUUCCUUCUUUGCUCCAUCAAUCCACACUCUUCCUUUGUUCCAGGCUGCUGAUCUCUUAUCUAAAACACCAUCUGGUAUCUGAGAAAGCCAGUGUAAGGCGCUCAAGCUAACCGCGACAUGAAGCUUUCUUCUAGGAAAGAGACGACCAUAAAAGGAUCCAGGGACACCAGCAGCAUAAUACUGCUUUCUUUUGUUGUCAGAUAAGAUACCAAUAUUACUCAAUGACCGAAACAAUGAAUUAAAAUCGUUGGAUGGGAGAUCAGAAAAGAACGCCUCAAAUUCAGGCUCGAAACCACACUGGUUAAUGUAACGCUGUCUCAAGGCUUCCACAACCAUAUCUACUGUGGCUAAAGUAUUGUACCCAGUUGCACAACCCAAGUCUGCUACCCUUAGAGACUCAGCUUCUUCCUCGUUCCUGAAGAAAAUUUUCAUGGAUUCAAUAGUUGUUAGUAGCAGCGGCCUACAUAAGCUGAUUGCAGAUGCAGGUGCUUCUGAGUUCUUUGCAUAGCUACUAUCGUCAUCUCCGCCUUGCAUACACAGUACUCUGUGAAGACCUCCUCCUCUUGCUACGUUGGACUUCUUAAAGCAGCUAUUGGGAUCUUGAGAUGAAUUCAUCUGCCCUUCUUUGGAAAGAGAUUCACUUGUAUUCUCAAGAAAUUAACAGAGAAAAAUAAGAAUCUGCUAGCUAGCUAGCUAGCCAGCUAAUUAGCUAUUGUGUUGCCCACAUGGGAAUCAACAGAAGGCAGCAGAUGAUAAAGAUCCCACAAAAGGCAACCAGAAACUAAAAGUAGGAGAGAUUUCGGGAGUUAUCAGCUUUCGUACGCAGAGACUGCCUACCGUUUAUGAUUAUUG